GACGAGGGAUCCUAGCGUUGUUCGGAAUCAUUGGGCGUAAAGCGGGUGCAGGUGGCUUUGUAAGUCAGGUGUGAAAUCCCAGGGCUUAACCCUGGAAGUGCAUUUGAUACUGCGAAGCUUGAGUGUAGGAGAGGUUACUAGAAUUCCAGGUGUAGUGGUGAAAUACGUAGAUAUCUGGAGGAAUACCGGAGGCGAAGGCGGGUAACUGGCCUAACACUGACACUCAGACCCGAAAGCGUGGGGAUCAAGCAGG
rnacentral:rRNA from 1 species